UUUUUUUUUUGUCUCUCACUGUUAAAAUACACCUACCAUUAAAAUUAUAGACUGAUCAUUUCUUUGUCAGUGGACAAACGUUCAAAAUUAGCAGGGGAUUAAAUAAUUUUUUCCCUCACUGUAUGUCACAGAGUUGGUUUGCUAAGGACCUCUGGAUUUUCCUUAUUUUCCUUGACCUCCUUGGAAUAAUUACUCAUAGUAAUGUGCUGUUUAUCCAUUUAUCACUGCGCUCCACAUACCCUUACAGUACUAUGUGGUGUGGACCAGCUUAUCAUAAAACACCACAACAAUAAAAUGCCCAGUAAUGUGCAGUGUAUGAGUAUGCCACAAAGCUCCACAACAAAACAUUCCCAGUAAUGUGCCAAUUAGUGAAUCACAGAGCUCCUCAAACAUUUUUUGUAUGUCAGAGCUCCACUGUAAUAUGAUGUAAUGUGUUUGUGUGUGAUAGGUGUGUUGCAUGUGUGUGAUAUUUGUACUGGGUUUGUUGGCUGUGUACUGCCGUGCGCAUGCGGGAUUGGUAGGUGUAUACAUUCAUAUUUACUGCGCAUGUACGGAAGCAUGUGCUCACUCUUACAAUGUCCUCUUGGAUACAUAGCGUGAAUUACGCUCGAACGGACAGAUCAUUUUUUUGGCAGGGACUCCCCUUUUUUUAACUAAUUCACUUACAGGUUAGUAAUUUCCAAUCAUCAAUUUUUCUUUUUUGAAAGUUUUGCAAUCUCCUAUUAGUCCAAAUGUAUAGAGACCUCUUUUUCAGCUGUCACUGCCCUUUUUUAUUUCACAAUUGUUAAUUAUUGUGUUAAUUAUUGUUUGAUUCAAUGAAUUGAUGUGCUUAUAAAUUUGCUGUGAUACAUGUAUUUUAUAGCUUGACAGAUACCCGUAAGGUUGAAACGUUGCUUUGGGCUUCAAUGAAUUUGCCAUUCUGAACCUUGGAGUGCCUGAACCGUUUUUUUUGUAUGUUAUACUAUUGCCACUGGAACCUGGUGCUUGGUUCUGGUUCAGUUGCACCAUGGCUCAGAUUGACAGGAUUGAGUGGAGUUCCUUAUGUUUGUUUGGAAAGAAUCAAAUUUAAGCAUCAUUGAAAUUGUAUUGCACCUUCCUGUCGUUAUUGAUUC